GACGGAGGAUGCAAGCGUUAUCCGGAAUGAUUGGGCGUAAAGCGUCUGCAGGUGGCAGUUCAAGUCUGCUGUCAAAGACCGGGGCUUAACUUCGGAAAGGCAGUGGAAACUGAACAGCUAGAGUAUGGUAGGGGCAGAGGGAAUUCCCGGUGUAGUGGUGAAAUGCGUAGAGAUCGGGAGGAACACCAGAGGCGAAAGCGGUUAACUGGUUCUAAACUGACGCUGAGGCGCGAAGGCUAGGGGAGCAAACAGG
rnacentral:rRNA from 1 species